rnacentral:rRNA from 1 species
UACGUAGGGUGCGAGCGUUGUCCGGAAUUACUGGGCGUAAAGAGCUCGUAGGUGGUUUGUCGCGUUGUCCGUGAAAACUCACAACUCAAUUGUGGGCGUGCGGGCGAUACGGGCAGACUGGAGUACUGCAGGGGAGACUGGAAUUCCUGGUGUAGCGGUGGAAUGCGCAGAUAUCAGGAGGAACACCGAUGGCGAAGGCAGGUCUCUGGGCCGAUACUGACGCUGAGGAGCGAAAGCCAGGGGAGCAAACGGG